GUAGGGUGCAAGCGUUAUCCGGAAUCAUUGGGCGUAAAGAGCUCGUAGGCGGUUCAGCAAGUCGGCUGUGAAAUCCCGAGGGCUUAACCUCGGAACUGCAGUCGAUACUGCUGUGACUAGAGUCCGGUAGAGGAGAAUGGAAUUCCCGGUGUAGCGGUGAAAUGCGCAGAUAUCGGGAGGAACACCAGUAGCGAAGGCGGUUCUCUGGGCCGGUACUGACGCUGAGGAGCGAAAGCGUGGGUAGCAAACAGGAUUAGAUACCCUGGUAGUCCACGCCGUAAACGUUGGACACUAGGUGUGGCGUUCCGACCAACGGGUGCCGUGCCGAAGCUAACGCAUUAAGUGUCCCGCCUGGGGAGUACGGCCGCAAGGCUA
rnacentral:rRNA from 1 species